UCACUGGCUCUUUUCAGAGCCAAUAAAAUACACGCAAGUGUUUUU
rfam:Xenopus laevis strain J chromosome 4L, whole genome shotgun sequence.